rnacentral:tRNA from 1 species
UGCAGGAAAGAAAGGAAAUUUUAGUUAUUGUAAAACUAUAAAUUACUAUCUUGCGA